GAUGUACUCCCUCCGUCCGGAAAUACUUGUCAUCAAAAUGGAUAAAAGGGGAUGCAUCUAGACAUAUUUUAGUUCUAGAUACAUCUUUUUUAUCUAUUUUGAUGACAAGUAUUUUCGGACGGAGGGAGUAUGAA
rnacentral:pre_miRNA from 1 species